rnacentral:misc_RNA from 1 species
AUUGAACACUGCAGAUAAAAUUGGGAAUCGUAGGAGUUGAAGUUUAUAAUUGAAUGUGAAAAGACAUCCAAUGAUGGAAGAAACCGGAUUAACUAAACAAUUGAGUUACAGGAUUUAUUUGAAUCUACAGAAUAUGGUUGUGAAUUACAACAAAAUCUAGACACAUGUUAUACAAGCAAUCAGGUAAAGUAAAAAAGGUUUAUUUGGACUCCUCAAUAUCUCUUUUAUGCUUCCCCUGAUACUUAACGGUAUCAGUCUUAUGAUCUUUCUGAUAUAAAUUAUUAGUCCUGUCAUGUUUCAACUAUGGUACACAUUCUACAAAUUUUUCUAACCUGCACAUGGUGCUCUGGCUACCAGCAAUUUCUCACUCAUGCCCAAGUGCAAGAAAGAAAGGCACUGCCCAAGUUAAGCUGCAUAAACACUGCACUGUAUACUUUCAUUAUCAUUAAAAUCCCCAUUUAGUGGGUUAUAAUUUGGAUCUGCAGUGUAUGAUGCACUGACAGGCAGUUGCAUGGAUUGAUUACAUACCAAAUCAUCAAUGCUGUGCUUUGCAUAGCUCACAUAUGCACCUAGAGCUCCCAGAAAUCCUUCAUGCUGUAAAAACAUUGCUUUUGCCUCCCCUUUAGACCAGAAAUGAACUGCAACAGAAAUUGUGUCCAUGGUAUAAGGUUGGCCCCGUAUGAAAAAUCCUCCAAAAAAUAUCCUCUUGAGCCCAAAU